UACGUAGGGUGCAAGCGUUAAUCGGAAUUACUGGGCGUAAAGCGCACGUAGGCGGACUUGUCAGUCAGGGGUGAAAUCCCGAGGCUUAACCUCGGAACUGCCUUUGAUACUGCAAGUCUUGAGGAUGAGAGAGGUAAGUGGAACUGCGAGUGUAGAGGUGAAAUUCGUAGAUAUUCGCAAGAACACCAGUGGCGAAGGCGGCUUACUGGCUCAUUUCUGACGCUGAGGUGCGAAAGCGUGGGGAGCAAACAGG
rnacentral:rRNA from 1 species